rnacentral:rRNA from 1 species
AUUGAACGCUGGCGGCAGGCUUAACACAUGCAAGUCGAGCGGAGAUGAGGUGCUUGCACCUUAUCUUAGCGGCGGACGGGUGAGUAAUGCUUAGGAAUCUGCCUAUUAGUGGGGGACAACAUUCCGAAAGGAAUGCUAAUACCGCAUACGUCCUACGGGAGAAAGCAGGGGAUCUUCGGACCUUGCGCUAAUAGACGAGCCUAAGUCGGGUUAGCUAGUUGGUGGGGGAAAGGCCUACCAAGGCGACGAUCUGUAGCGGGUCUGAGAGGAUGAUCCGCCACACUGGGACUGAGACACGGCCCAGACUCCUACGGGAGGCAGCAGUGGGGAAUAUCGGACAAUGGGGGGAACCCUGAUCCAGCCAUGCCGCGUGUGUGAAGAAGGCCUUAUGGUUGUAAAGCACUUUAAGCGAGGAGGAGGCUACUGAGACUAAUACUCUUGGAUAGUGGACGUUACUCGCAGAAUAAGCACCGGCUAACUCUGUGCCAGCCGCCGCAGUAACAC